rnacentral:rRNA from 1 species
AGUGAACGCUGGCGGUAGGCCUAACACAUGCAAGUCGAACGGCAGCACAGUAAGAGCUUGCUCUUACGGGUGGCGAGUGGCGGACGGGUGAGGAAUACAUCGGAAUCUACUUUUUCGUGGGGGAUAACGUAGGGAAACUUACGCUAAUACCGCAUACGACCUACGGGUGAAAGCAGGGGAUCUUCGGACCUUGUGCGAUUGAAUGAGCCGAUGUCGGAUUAGCUAGUUGGCGGGGUAAAGGCCCACCAAGGCGACGAUCCGUAGCUGGUCUGAGAGGAUGAUCAGCCACACUGGAACUGAGACACGGUCCAGACUCCUACGGGAGGCAGCAGUGGGGAAUAUUGGACAAUGGGCGCAAGCCUGAUCCAGCCACACCGCGUGGGUGAAGAAGGCCUUCGGGUUGUAAAGCCCUUUUGUUGGGAAAGAAAAGCAGCAGGUUAAUACCCCGCUGUUCUGACGGUACCCAAAGAAUAAGCACCGGCUAACUUCGUG